CCCCUCUCCUCCUUUCCCUCCCCAGCUUGCCAUGAAGGGCCCCCCCGGCCCCAUGGGGCUCACCGGCCGCCCGGGUCCUCUGGUGAGUGCUGCUGGCGUGGGGGCUGCUGCGGGACCCCCUUGGGGUGCCCACCUUGCACCGGGGUCUUUGGGCACCCCAGCAGACCCCCAGUGGCGGGGGCUCCACGCUCUCCGUUUUUUUUUAGGGUCUGCCAGGGCACCCGGGCCUGAAAGGGGACGCAGGGGACAUGGGGCCGCGGGUGAGUCUCGUAAGGUUGGGGGGCGGGGGCCGUUGGAAGCCUUCCUCUCCCCUCACCCCUCUUCUUCCUCUCCAUCAGGGUCCCCGGGGACUGCAGGGACCCCCGGGACCACCGGGGAAGCUGGGCAGACGGGGUCGCGCUGGAGCAGACGGUGCCAGGGGACUCCCGGGGGACACCGGACCCAAGGGUGACCGGGGCUUCGAUGGUUUGCCGGGGCUACCGGGGGAGAAAGGCCACAGGGUAAGUGCCACCGCGCCGCGUCCCCUCCUGCCACCACCCGUCCCCGUGUCCCCUCACCUCCUCUCCGUCCCCUAGGGUGACGUGGGGAAGCCAGGACCUGCGGGCACCCCCGGGGAGAAAGGAGCCAGGGUGAGGAGCCUGAGGGGGGGGGGUCCGGGGAAGGAUCAGGCCCUGGUGGCGUGGGGGGGACACGCUCAGCUCCUCUCUGUCCCUCCCAGGGCUCCGACGGCUUGCCGGGACCGCGGGGACAACCGGGGGAACCCG
rnacentral:lncRNA from 1 species